rnacentral:lncRNA from 1 species
CGCCCGCGCGCCAAUGAGUUCACUUUCUUUCUCUCCCCCGCGCUCCCCCUCUCCCCGCCCGCCGGCCCCUCCAGCCUCCUCCAAGGCGGCGGACCAGGCCGGGCCGGAGUUUUCGGGGUUCAGCCCGCGAGCGGGAGGACCGGGGAGGCGAGGGAGGAGGAAGGCGAGAAGGGCCAGAUCGCGGGAGAGCCCAAUCACGGGGCGAGCUGGACCUGGCUGUGAUCAUUUAUAAUCCUUGACUCCUCCGCUCCGCCACUUGUCAAGAUGACAGGGGUCAUCCGUGAAUAACACUUCACGCUGAUGAAUGGCUCUUGCCGGCUUUCGGCUCUGAUGAGGGGUCUGCCCGCCGCCGAUUGAAAACACUAAUGAACUUACUGCGCCAUUUGAAAUUCACACGCACCAACAAAAUGGGGGGUGGGCAUUUCAGGUCAGCUGAGUCACCCGAGGAGGUGGCAGUGCAAGACACUGCCGGGAAGACGGAUUCCGAGGCAGAAGGGUGUAAUUAAGGAUUUCCACCCCCGGUAGGCGGCCCGUCCUUUGCAGAGCCUCUGAAAAUGACCCGCGCCUUCCUUUCCACAGUGUUCUUUCGUCCGAGACCGAAAAGCGCAAAUGACCUUUGGACAGGGAAGGGAGGCAGUAAACACUCAGACUUCCUUACCAGCCCCUGGUGGGCACUGCAGCAGAACAAUUGUCUGCCCCCCAGGUUCAAGCACCUAGGCCUCCGCCCCGCAUCACCUGGCCAGGGGCGGACCCGGGAGUCCUCCGAAGGCUCCACUCCCCACUUUUACUACUCUUCUUUCCUCUCCAUUCUCCCCUCAGAUUAGCGGCCGGACACUGUCCCUGCCUCGAUUUUGUUUGCUGUGGGAGGGAAAAAAAAAGUUUGCUGCUCCUCCCAAGACACUGGCCACUUUCUACUCACUGAAGUUCCCACCGCAGCGCUGGCUCCCGGCUCCCUAGCUCCCGCCCCCUGUCUGCAGGAAAGCCCUCCCCCGGAGCUUCCGAAACUGCUGGAGGUUCCAGAGUUUUGUAGCUCCGAAUGGGCGACCUGAGCCGAACCGCUCUCUGGCUGGGUGGUCGGCGGGAUCCUUCAGGCUCCUUUCGGGUCCGGGACGGGGCGGCGGCAGAGGUGGGGCGUGCGUGCUUGGGGCUGCCGAGUGAGUGCGGCUCCCUGGUGCGCGCCCGAGCAUCUCCCCGCCCUCUCCUGGGACCAGCAGUCUGCCCGUGGAGGGCUAGGAGCCCGCGACCAGGCCUGCCCCGGCCGUCGCCAACCUGUCCUUGGAAGCGUGGCGGAGACUGGUGCGCUCUCAGCCUCGUCGCGCCAGCCGCCUCGCGCCACCCUCCACUUUCAGCUUCAGAGCAGAGGAUUCCGCCGACCUCCACCUGUACCUGUACUCGGCCGUUAGGAAAUCCACUUGCAUUUUUAACUACCGUGCAGAACCAGAAACAGAUCGAGCACUGGGAGAACAAGGACGACGCCUCCUAGGAAAGCCUGAACCUUUAUGUUAGUUUAUCCAAAGUUUGGGCUAGAAGUGAGGAGAAUCCCUAAACUCGAGGUGGUGUGCCCAGACCCACAGCCCGUGUUCCCGAAGUUGCUAAGUGCCCGAGCGCAGCGCGUUAAGUAGAGAAGUCUUGGUAGUAAGCGAACCCGACCCGGCUCUCGGGGCGCUAGUGACGGAAAGCAGCACGCAUAUCUUUGCGGGAAGAAUCUAGAGUCGCCCUGGGAUAGAUCCAUCUCCUUCUGCCACUGAAUUUCACACUUGAAAAAGAUAAGGUCAUGGGGGCGGAUGAAUGAUAUCCCUCACUCAUUUAGCCAUUCUUAUUAUUAUAUAAAAAAAAGGCUUGUCAAUUAUGAAGGUGUGUCCCAGAUAUUACAUGAAGAUCAUGCAAACUACUUGAAAUUUGAAUCCGGACAUGAUCGUAAGGAAACUCUUUCAUAAAGCACUUUUGUGGCCUAGUUCCCACACACACACAAAAGUAUUAGGUCUUUAAAACUUUUCCAAGUAGUAAGUGAGACUCCCUCUUACUGUCUACGAAUACACAAUAAAGAGAUGAGACACUGCCCCAAUCCUAAAGAGGCCAGAACUGAAGUGCUACAUUGUGUGAGUUAGGGGAUGCUUCUUUUUUCCAGCUCUUUUUUCUAGAAUCCUCAUUACAGCUAACGCUGGUAAUAAAGGUAGGAAAACAAUAGAACUCAUAAAACUUAGAAAUGGUAAUAAAUCUUGGCUCCUGUCUCUAGCCCAGUUCCUUCUUACAUGAGAUUCAAAGUUUUUCAGUAUGCAAUGCUGAACGUUCACACUAUGGUUGCAAAAUAGAAAAAAAUACUCUAGAACUCAUUAAUACGGCCCUGCGCACUCUAUGCCAGGCGUCGCUGGUGGACAAAGCGCGCAGGGGUCCUCCUCUACGUCUGCCUGCGCCUGUAAUCCAGGCAGCUUACGUGUGUUAAAUUUGGGUCUCUCUCUGUCUCUCACACAAAGAAGUUCCAUCAUUUGAGGCCGUUAGGAAAAGCUGAUGUUGUGCAGUGCCAAACUACCACACGCUUCCUCCUUCGGAUGAAUCCCUGGAAAGCAGAGAGGCAGCUCGCUACGUGACCAUCAUGCUUUUUACCUCACUGAGCUGUUGUCAAGAGAGGGCGGGGAUGGCGGGCAGCUCACGUCGUGCCCUCCGCAGCAAUAAAAACUGGAGCGGGAGAAGAAAUGCAAGACAUCGCUGUCUGUUUUGCAAGCCUCUGGCCGCUCUCAGCAAACUCUGCCCGGCGCGGCUGGUGACUUUGCGGUGUGAACGCAGCCGGUCGUGCUCGGGAUAAUGGGACCGAGCUGGCGGCAUCGCCCUCCCGUGGGCCCCUCUUGCCACACAGAUGCGCAGCUCUCCAAAAGGAAAAUGUGGCCCAGCAACCCUCGCCUAGCCCUAGUCCUAGGAAUGCAUGCCUGGGGCCUUUGGAAGCCUCUCAAAGGGCUGGGGGGCGGGGGGGAGGGAUAUAAUGGGCCGAACCUCUGGAUUCAUUUUGGGGAAGAGGAGACAGGUUCUUGCCCCACUACUGAGGCAAGGCCAACAGCACCCUGCCCUGCUGCUCCACCGCCUCCCCGCGGGUCAAGUCUCAGCCGAGUGUCGCUGCCCACCUGAAGGUGACACCUGUCCAUUUUAGUCAGCAUCACAUGCGCCUUCCCUUUCUCCCCUUUGGGGUCUGUCCGUUUUCUCCUCCUGUCCUAAAGAGCCAGCUUGGAACUGAAGGGGCCGGGUAGCAGCUGUUUGUGCCUCUUGCCCGUGCAGACUCGAGGGUCUCCGCAGCCACUUCCUCCUUUAACACGCGAGGCUUUCAGGCGUGCAGAAGGGGACCGCCGGGUCAGGCAGGUAUUAGGCUCUCCAAGGACACUUGUGGACAUCACUGGAGUUUACCUAUUGUUUGGACUUUAUUACAUCUGCUUUAGCAAACGGAGGCAUGAGCGGCCUGUCUGCUGGGUUCAAACCCAGUUGCUGCCCCGGCUGCAACCUCUCCCACUCAAGAGACCCUAGGAACGAUGAGGAACGGGGUAGAAAUGACCAGGGGAGCCAAAUCUCAGGUACCGAGACCUUCCAGCUCACCCCUCAGGCUCAGGAAAGCCAAUAACCCACAUAUGCCCAAAAGGAGCUUAUGUCUCAACUGAGAACAGCAAAUAGGUGAUGGGCCACUUUAGAACAGAGGCUAAAGGCUGGUAGCCACUGAGCAAAACCCAAAUUCUAGGCACCUGAGGUGUUUCCCUUACACAAGUGCCUUCACAGGUAGCAAGCAAUUAAUCUGCAACAGUGAACAACACUAAAACUUAAAUUUUACAUGGAAGUCUCUCAAGUAGACAAAGUUAUUAUUGGGUGGGGUUUUCCCCCCACUGGCAAAAAAAUAACUUAUCCCUUGGCUGUUAGAUUGAGGGAACUAUAAAACAAAUAUUUUAAUUCGAUCACUGACAAAGUCAUAAAAUUCAAUGACUGUUUGUAGAGGAAAACAUGCUUUCAUUAUCUUAAUUAAAGCAAGAUAAGCCUCUCUCAAUGUGCAUGCAUUUUGGAGCCACUGAAUGGACUGGUGAUGAGACGAAGCAACCUUUAAUUGGGACCAUGCUUCUCCAGUACAUUCGUUUGUAUUCCAUGGUGUAAACCGGGCCUUACGCGUGGCUCCGACCUUCGGUGGAAAUGCAUUUGCGUAGCACCACCCAGGGGCUCCCUUGCUUUGGCUAGAGCCUCAUAAAAGACCCCAGGUUUUGCGAAGGAUUUUGAACACCAGCGUCUUUUAACAUGUGGAACUUUCGGUUUUGGUUUAGCUCUGUGAACGUAUUUAAAACUUGCUACAUUAUUCCACAGUGAAAGUUGGAACCUUUUUAAGAGUUAUCAUAGAGUGCCUUUUAACAUCUGUCAUAUUUUCUAUAAACAACUUUUCAGUGAGAAGCGUAUAUAGUGUACUCGAGGUAGGCAUUAGCUGCUGGCAAGGUUUAUGAUACAAUAGUGACACUACAGGACAAUUUUUUAGUCAAACAACACCCGUUAGAUAUUUCAGGGUCCAGCUUAUAUGUUAACUUGUAAAUAUAGGUUAAAAAUAUAGGUAUCAAGUGACUAAAUUCAGUAUCAGACAAAUUGAACAUCUUUUUAUUUCCCAGAAGUGCCCUACUCUUUCUCCUCCCUUUGGUGACCUCUUAGUCUGGAAUGCUCUGCAUCCGGGGCCCCUGGAACACAUAGUUUUUAAAGUACCUAUUAGUGAUACUCUCCUCCCGUUGGCAGUGCUUCCACUGUGUUUUCUGCAUGUAAUAAAGGAUGGCACUGUUUUUUGCAUAGGUCUUUCCUAAUAGCUGAGCACUCUUGGAGUGUAGGGGCUCAACCUUAUGCCUCUUUGGACACACAAGCCUAGCCCAUGGGCUGGCAUAUAGGAGCUGCUCAAUAAAUGUUUGUUGAACGAAUGAGUGGAUACACGAAUAAAAUAUUUUCAUUGUCUUU